rnacentral:lncRNA from 1 species
AAAUUACAGUCUAACAAAUUAUAGAAAACCUCCUCCUGCAUCUGACGAGGGCAAACCUGAAAUUUUCCCAUCGAACAAAAAACAUUACAGUCUAAGAAAUUAUAGAAAACCUCCUCCUGCAUCUGACGAGGGCAAACCUGAAAAUAUCCCAUUGAGAAAUUCAGGUUACCAACGAAAAAAUUAUGGAGGACGUCCUCCUGCAUCUGACGAGGGCAAACCUGACAGUCAACUACUCCAUUAUAGAGACUUGGCUAUUUUCUUCUUCGAGAAGGACAUGCGCCCUGGCGCAACAAUGCAGUUCCAAUUCCCUAGAAAUUCAAACACGGCUACUUUCCUGCCACGUGAAAGUGCUCAAUCGAUCCCCUUCUCCUCUAACAAACUACCAGAAAUUUUCAACCAUUUUUCAGUGAAGCCAACAUCUGUGGAAGCCAAAACAAUUAAGCAAACAAUCGAAGAGUGUGAAGCUCCAGGCCUUAAGGGAGAGGAAAAAUAUUGCGCCACAUCUUUAGAAUCAAUGGUUGAUUUUAGCACUUCGAAGCUUGGAACAAGAAACGUUGAAGCAAUCUCGACGGAGGUAUUGGAAAGAGGAGCCACCAUGUCCAUGCACAACUAUACGACAAUGCCGGGACUGAAGAAGUUGGCAGGUGACAAAGUCGUUGUGUGUCAUAAGGAGAACUAUCCCUAUGCUGUGUUUUUCUGCCAUGCAAUAAAACAAACAGCAGCUUAUGUUCUCUCCCUGAAAGGCGAUGAUGGGGAGAAGGUUAAAGCUGUAACCAUCUGCCAUCUAGACACAUCAGAAUGGAACCCAGAGCAUUUUUCCUUCCAAAUCCUCAACGUUAAGCCCGGAACCGUUCCCAUCUGCCAUUUCAUUUCCACUGAUGCUGUUGCCUGGGUUCCAAAACACAAAUCUGCAUGAUCAUCAUUUAGCACUGUGCGUAUAAUUAUCUCCCUACUUAUUUCUACCUCUUCAUCAUGUGGUGUAAGAUAUAUGAUGAGAUGAAGUUUUUGGGAUUAGUGGUCGGGUUGCCUGAAAAACACAGAUUAUAGAAACUGCUUGAAAUUAACCCGAUCAUGUUUUCUCUUGUAAGACUUCAACUUGUACUCCCCAAUGUUUGAGUGUUGAAUUGUUUCGUUGGAAUAGGCUGCUAAUGCAUUAGUUAGAGAAGCCUCCAUUUAUAUCAAAGUCCUCAAACUAUCAAGAACUAAUUUAUCCAGAAACAUAUACCAAGACGCAAAACAACAUAUUUUCCAUGCUGUCUGUAACACCAAAGCAAACUUCCUUUAUCACAUCAUUUAAAGGAUCAAAUUCCAUCAUGUAAAGCAUACAAGUGCCUCCCUAAUAUGAUAGUUGUAUACAACUCUAAUAUCAUAAAGCAAACAAAAUUUCUAAGUUAGUUUGCUUUAUGAUAGUUGUUUUUUGAAGGGGUCCUUAGAUCCUAUCUCAAAAAGUUU